rnacentral:rRNA from 1 species
AAUGCCUGGGAAAUUGCCCUGAUGUGGGGGAUCAUCUCUUUGAAAAACGAUGGCUAAUACCGCAUGAUAGCUUCGGCUCAAAGAGGGGGACCUUCGGGCCUCUCGCGUCAGGAUAUGCCCAGGUGGGAUUAGCUAGUUGGUGACGAUAUGGGCUCACCAAGGCGACGAUCCCUAGCUGGUCUGAGAGGAUGAUCAGCCACACUGGAACUGAGACACGGUCCAGACUCCUACGGGAGGCAGCAGUGGGGAAUAUUGCACAAUGGGCGCAAGCCUGAUGCAGCCAUGCCGCUUUUUUUUUUAUAUUGCCUUCGGGUUGUAAAGCACUUUCAGUAGGGAGGAAGGUGGUGUUGUUAAUAGCAGCAUCAUUUGACGUUACCUACAGAAAUUAGCACCGGCUAACUCCGUGCCAGCAGCCGCGGUAAUACGGAGGGUGCGAGCGUUAAUCGGAAUUACUGGGCGUAAAGCGCAUGCAGGUGGUUUUGUUAAGUCAGAUGUGAAAGCCCGGGGGCUCAACCUCGGAAAUAGCAUUU